GAAUAGACUGCCUACUGCCAUCAGACUCUCCCCUAGUCUUCAAUCAUUUAAGAAGUGCCUUAAAACCCAUCUCUUCAGGGAAGCUUAUGGCCUCACAGAGUAACCUCUACCUUACAUACCUGUCUCCUGCUCUCUCCUAUAGGGCAGCACUCUACCCCCUCAUCCAGCUCUGCUUCACUCCCACCCUAUUUGAUAUUUCCUGUCCUAAUGUGUCUUAUACCCCACCUCCUAUAGACUGUAAGCUCGUUUGAGCAGGGUCCUCUUUAACCUAUCGAUCCUGUAGGUUUUCUGGUAAUUGUCCUAUUUAUAGUUAAA